rnacentral:lncRNA from 1 species
CCAAAAAACUACGGCCCACAGUUGAAGCCAAAAUUCUCAGAUUCGAUCUUUUAUAUUUUGCUAUAUCCCUCCGCCUCGUGUUUUUGACGGCGGCAGUUUCCACAGUGCUUCCACGUGUGUUUUUUGUCCUUUUUUUCUUUUAAGGGAGGUAAUUAUUUACCAAGUGAGAUUAGUAGGCUUCUGAAACGUUCUGAAAGAGAGGAGCCACGUUUGGACUUUGUACGACUCUUGUGUGGGGUGGGGAAGGAUUCUUUUCUUGGGGGCAAGGAUUCCAUUUUUGAGUCUGUGAGGGGCGUGCGAGGGUUUUCCUUCGCUGAGAGGACUUCCUUCGCUCAGACGAGUCCUCCGUGCCGUGGGAGGAGGUCGUGUCGCGGCGGGAGAGAAGAGUGUCCCUCACAGGUAGCCUGUGCGUGGGGCUGCUCUGGAGCUCAGGGUUGGCUCCCUUGUGGGCCAGAGCUUUGGAUAGCAGCUUCGUCCAACCACUGGGACGUCAAAGGGAUACCACAACUCGCGUGAUCCGAGUAAGUACAGGGAACACGCCAUUUGCUAAGAUGGGGGCUGCCUAAAACCUCUGGGUUGAGGCCAUUUCCUGUCAACCAAGGCUUGCCAAGCACACCAGUUCCUGCUUCUGGUGUCUACUUGGGAAAGGACGGUAGCCAUUUUCCCCGUUCGUCCCCCCGCAGUAGGAUCCCCGCGGCUGGUGAGUAGACGGGGGGCGGUGAGGCGGGACGCAGGGAGGCGCCGUAUGACGAGGUCAGCGGUGGACUCAGCGCCAUGGCCUACUCUCGGGAGGCUGAGGCGGGGGCCCUUCCGGCCGCCGUUCUCUUCCGCUCGCCUCAGGUGCAGCGCGGAUCCCUCCGCCACAGCGUGCGCUGCCGGCAGCGCGGCGCUCGGCUUUCCGGCAGUACCCGGAUGGAGGGGUAAUGGCCGCCAUCUGGGACUCGCAGGCAAUGGGGACCACGGCAGAUACCAUCUCUUGAUCACUGUACCUGAUUGUGGCAUUGUCCAGGCAUUAAGUUGUGUGCCUUUGUUCCUGGGAGAAAGUUGA